ACGUCACUCCUACGGGAGGCAGCAGUGUGGAAUAUUAGACAAUGGGCGCAAGCCUGAUCCAGCCAUGCCGCGUGAGUGAUGAAGGCCCUAGGGUUGUAAAGCUCUUUCACCGGUGAAGAUAAUGACGGUCACCGGAGAAGAAGCCCCGGCUAACUUCGUGCCAGCAGCCGCGGUAAUACGAAGGGGGCUAGCGUUGUUCGGAUUUACUGGGCGUAAAGCGCACGUAGGCGGACUAUUAAGUCAGGGGUGAAAUCCCGGGGCUCAACCCCGGAACUGCCUUUGAUACUGGUAGUCUUGAGUUCGAGAGAGGUGAGUGGAAUUCCGAGUGUAGAGGUGAAAUUCGUAGAUAUUCGGAGGAACACCAGUGGCGAAGGCGGCUCACUGGCUCGAUACUGACGCUGAGGUGCGAAAGCGUGGGGAGCAAACAGGAUUAGAUACCCCUGUAGUCCCAUGA
rnacentral:rRNA from 1 species